UAAUCAGUGCCAGGGUCUCCCCACACCUCCCUUAUGCUCCAGUCUCUCCCUCACAUCCCAAAGCUUCAUCUUCACCACACCAACAGCUGAACUGAGGAGGAUUCCUCUACGAGGCUGUCUUACAGCUACAAUCCCUGGCUCAAGAUCUCCGCCAAUGACUCCGUUCUCUCCAACAAUGAGCAGAGCUUCUGCUUUCAGUAUUAGGACACACACAAUGUGGUCGUACUUUGGGGACUUUCUGGAGCCACCAGUUUUCUCCACAAGUAAUGAGUCCCAGCAGUCAUGUGCCCAUUGAGACAAGGAAUCAGAAAUGGCAGUGACAGCAUUCCAGCCUUUCAAACACUACCAUAAAAGGCAGGGAUUUCCUCAAAUCUAAAUUUAAAAGACAGGAACCCAUAAACAAAGUAUGUGAAUUUAGUUCAGGUGUAGGAAUUUGCAACAGUCACAGUGUCUUAAUGAUGCUCUAAUGUUUCAUUAUGGAGCACUUUUUUUUUUAAACUGAUAUAGCAGAUAGAUUUAAUCAAUUUAAUUAUAGCUGCUGGUAUACCCAGCCAAGAUUCAUCCUAAAAACAACUGCACAGCUCUGCCCAGACACUCCAUUUAAAGCACUUCACCUCUGAUCCACAGAGCUCCUCUGGCAACCAGAAAGAGAUGUCCAGCUGCAGGGCUCAAGGAAUGCCCACCAUGCAGAGGAGGUAAGGGGAAAUGAGAAACAUCUCCAGUCAAAGCAGAUGGGAGACAUGCUGGGAAAUGUGCAGCUUUCACAGCAGGAGGCCAAUUUUCCUGAGGUAAGCACAAGCAUUUUGGAAUGGCCAAAAGCCACAAGUAACCCAGUUGUGGGCUUUCAGGGGGCAGCAAGGAACAGAAAGCUCAUGUGGAAGGAGCAGACAAGUGGAGAGAAGCAGCCAGGGAAGCUACCAGAUCCACACCAGGCUGAAUGACUCCGGGCACAGGAUGUGUCCCAGGACUUGGUGCAUGUCCUGUGAAUCAAGAUGAUGACCUGCCUUACUCCUUUAAUUAUGUGUCUAGAUCUAGUAAAGGUUGUCAGUUGAUCUCCUUGACUCCUCUACACCUUCAGCCACAGAGGGAAAGAAUCAACGCACACACACACACACAAAAAAAAAAAAAAAAAUAACCCCUUCUCUCCCUUCUCUUCUUCUUUUUUAAUUUAAGCUUCCAAAUCCCUAAUUUGUUCCAAGAGGUUUUUUUGUAGUUUUUUUUUGUUUCUGUUUUUUUCUGUUCCUGACUCACAAGAUCAGGGGGCCAAGUGACGACUACAGACACCCAGAGUGCAUCUCAUCUUCAUUUCCAGACUUUGCUGUUGAAGGAAGUGGGGGGGGAGGGGGGGAAUAAAAUAUAAACAAGUAGAAGAUAAUGUGCCAGACACACUCUCCCUUGGGAGACCAUCACCCUCUUCCCACAUUAGGUGGGGCUUUUGCUGCACUGUUUCAGGCUAGAAAUCUUGCUUUGCACACAGCCUGCCAUCCACACAGGCACUGUCAGGCAGACACAGAACACGACUCAGCCCGGACGGAGCAGAACAAAAGCUUCCAGUCUCUUUUGUCCAGCUAUUUAGGCAGUCCUUGAAUGCCAUACAAGUGUUUAGACAGUAUAUAGCAUUUAUGCUCUGAAACACAAUUAAACAGACAAUUAGAAAAUAAAGAUUAAAUUUUAAAAAACCUACUCUAACAAGUAAAUAAUAUUUUUUUUUGGCGAGUUGCUCAAAAUGGAGAGGAGACGCGAGCAGCAGCCCCGGCCACCGGCUGCUGAUGCGACAGUUCUGGGUACUUAUUGAAAACAUCUGGAAGCUCUGAGCCACUUUGUGCAGCCAGGAGUUUGAAACAAUCCAAUCAUUUCAUAUCCAAACCCAAGUCCAGCGCUGCGGAUUUCAAGGGAAGGGAAAGAGGGGGAAGAAAAAAAAGAACAACCGCACUUGAUCACGCCAUAUGAUCUGUAACUCAUCCAGAUAAAACUCCUCCUCCUCCUCCACCCGCUAACAGACCUCUUAAUGACAAGGAAAUCAUGGUUAUCCUGAAACAGACUGAACUAUUGUUAUCUGUUUCAAAUUACUUUUGCCAUAUCGUUAUGAAACACUGCAAUGAUGCAAUCUGCAGAAAUACUCAGGCGCAUUAACUUUUUAAACUGCAACUCUGAUAGGAACAGAUGAAAGGAAAAAAAUUCUCCUGUUUUAAGCAAGGCAAUACCCACUUCUGGGCACUAAAAUGAGGUGAUAAUAAAUUCAUCAGACAGUAAGAGAGAAGAAUUAUAAUUUCAAUUGCUCUUUUCUUAAAAGAAAGCAGCUUUUUGGGAAGGCUUUUUAAAAUUUUACAUUUUUGGCUCUUGCAAGGAUAGACAAAACAAAUAGUUUUUUUCCUAAAACUAAAUAAGGCAAAGGAAAUCUGUACUCUAAUGCUGCAAAGCCUGUAAGAGGAGCACGUCCAGUCUGGAAAGGAGAGCACAUCCAUCCUGUCUGCUGGGAGGGAGGUCAGCACCCACGUGAGACCAGACCACAAGGGACACUCAAAUGUGGAUUCUGAAGCAGACCAGGCUGCUGUUGACCACAGCAAGCACUCACACCAUGGAUCUUGGUCAAGAGCCCUGGAAAUCUCAUGGCAUUUCUCACGUUUGCGGGAGCACUGCAACACUGAGAGGAGUUUAGUGGCUGACCCAGUCCCACUGUGCCUCUCUGUCUGCAUCCCUGUGUGGUGGUGGCACUUCUGUCCUGAGCUUCAUCCCUCUGGUACGAUCCACCAGUGUCCCACCAAGCUAGAAGUGGCUCCAAAAGGCUGGCUGUGAUUUUGAAUUCCCUUACGAGGUAGGCCAUGGAAAGAAAAGGAGUCACAGAGAGGGACAUGGACAGUCCCCCAUCACCUGUGGCAAAUCCAAGGGGGAAGGUCAGUGAUGCAGCAACAAACCUUCACAAUCCUGGUUCUAAAACACCUCCAUAUUCAUCACUUUGAUUUAUUCCUAGGGAAAAAUCAUCUACAGUACCAACACAAGUUUUAUUCUUCAGCCUGGGACUCUCCCAAAACUUCCCUAUUUAAAUCAUAUAUUCACACCAAGGUCUGCAGAGAGGCAUUUCCUCAUGGAGCAAUGCUUUGGGACAACACGACUGGGCUGAAUUUAACAUCAAACAAUCCACUGUCCAGCUGCAGCCUGUGUUUGAGCUCAGACAGAACCAGACAGAAACAGCUAAAGAGCCAUGAGGGAAUGAGGAGGGCUUGGAAAGCUGUCAGGCACAGAUACAUGGAGCAUGUGUUUUGAGAAAACACAAAAACACCUUGAGAGACCUUCAGCCACUUCCUGACAUUCCCUUUUUCUAAUAUUUCUCAGAGACUCGGUGUACAUUUUUCAGGAAUUUCUAUUGUCCAAAUAACCUUCAGAAAAAUGCUGAAGCUUUGGUCAGCCACGGAGCAUGCCUGAACAUCCUUCCAGAGGAAGUAAACUGCCCAUCUUACAGCUCCCAAAUGGCUACAGGAGAAACACAACCCACUCAAGAGAUUAGCAACCCCUCAGCUGACUCUACAUCACUUUGCAAGAUCUGCUUCUUCCUUUACCAAAAAUAACUGCAGUUGGGAUGUCUAGCUGGCUGAAGUGCUGUGGGAUCUUGGACCAGCCCACAGAUAUUUAUUUAGCGUGUUAUGGGAGUUGAGAGAAAUACUUCUGCUGUCAAGCACUGGACAUGUUGCUUUGCCUUGUGAGUUUCAACAUCCUGAAAAUAGGGAAGGGAAAACAUGAGUGGAAAAAGCAGGAACAGUCCCAAAAGAGGCUGUCAAGGAGCACCUGAGCUAUGAACUGCAGCAACAAAUCAGCUGCACGUCGCCUGUGUCCUCCUGUCAGCUGCUCCUGUGCUCCAGGCACUUCCCACCAGGGCACGGGGUCUAAUGACUUACAGAUUGGGUCAAACACCAAAAAAUGAGGACUUUUGUAAAUAAUAAUACAAUUUGCAACCAAAACAAGUGGAUGGAGGAUAAUGCUUUGAUUUCACAGCUGGCACAGCCCAGCCUGGAGCUGCUGCUGAAGAAAUGACGCUCACUUCUCUGAUCUCAUCCAACACCAAAGUUGGUCACAAUGGAUUUGCUUAUGUUUUCCUUUAUGGUUUUCAGUUGCUGCCAAUAAACAUGUAAAUUUUACAUGCACACAAUGAGUGAUAAUCUUUGCUAAUUACUGUUAUUCUCCUAUAAAGGAAGGAUUACAGUUUUGGGGAUCUGGAAAGAUAAUCACAUAAAUAAAAGUAUUUAAAAUAGCAAAUUGCAUUUACAGGAGUUUUUAAACCACCAUAAACAUUGUACAAGUCACUUGAAAUUGGUUUGCACAGACCAUCCCUCAAAUACCUGAAGGCCUGCUCAAGCCCAAUCAAGCAAUGUCUAAUAAUUUGUCCUACAGAGAAGUUAAGGAAGAGACCAUUGCAUUUGUCUCAAAUGCAAGAAAAAGGGGAUGUUUCAUUAUCUGUAAAGCUUACAAAUUCAAAAAUCAAAGGACUUUUCCAUUUUUAUAUAAUCCAUAAUGUAAAGGCAUAUUUUGACAUGAUUGGGGAUAGAUAUAGGAUAUAAGAAAGUACUGAUUUAUACAACUGAAAACACAAUAGUAACACAUUCUAGAAAGACUGAAUCUCUACAGUUCAAGAUAUGAGGUUAAAAAUUAGUUCAGUUUUUGUGCAGGAAAACAAAGCACCUCACAUUUCCAGAGUGCAGUAAAACAUCCCUGGGCUCUGAAAUGAUCCCUGCUGCUGUGGGCAGGGCACAGGAGCAGGCAGACAUCAUCUGAGCCUCUCCAGGAAGCCUCAGCACAACACGAGAUCAGUGCCAUGAAAUGCCUGGUGGAUGGUUCUAGCUGAUGAAUUAUGUCUUCAGCUAAAAACAGAGACAGGGUAGCAGAUUAUGUAGAUGAAUUGGCAGAUAAAGCCCAACAAAAAUGACGUAUGGCAUGAGUGAGUGAAAUUAAUGGACAAUAUAAAAAUGACACAUCUUGAACUGAGGAAAUUAUUCAGCUUUUACCAUUCUUUCAUGCCUACAGUUUAAGGCACUGUAAUCUAACUGAAAAACAGAGACGGGUCAUUCAAAUGAAUAAAUCAUGCCAGAAAAUGAUUCAGUUUCCCUUCUUUUAUUUUUUCUUUUUUUUUUUUUUCCUUUUUAACUGAAGUCCCCAGGACCCAGCCCUUCGGAAGCCCGCACGACCCAGUGUAUUGUCCUGGCCAGGCACCCUGUCAAAAGGGAAAAAGUUAUCUUUUCUUUCAUCUUGUAACUGAAAAUCUGGGAGGGGAAGCACUGGGAAAGCAGAGUGCUGUACAAAGGCACCCAUCAUAUUCCCUGUCAGCUUUUUUGCUUGGCUGCUAAUGAAGGCAGUGGAUUGAGGACUCUGUGGCAUUUGUUUUGCCCUUCCAAUUUUCCUGUUUGCUUUGUGGGAAGGAGGAUCUCAGCCCCAACAGGUAACUGAGAUGCUCUGAGUGCAGCCAAGCCCCUCUCCCAGCAGUAACAGCCACUCCAGAUCACCCUCUUACCUACACCCUCAUUCAACCAGUAUUUUUGUGCCCUCUUUCCAUGCAUUUGGAAACCUGAAAUGAAAUCCAAUGCAAACUUUGAGAGGAGGCAUUUGGAAUCCAGCUCCUGCCUGGGAGGUCUGCUUUAGGACCACAUGAGUAUUCCUUUGCUCACUGUUUUAUCCGUUUCCCUGGUAGUCCUCUGUAAAGAAUAUUAAACAAACAUGUCUUUACAGCUCAAGAGCCCAGGAGAGAAUGUUGACCCUGUGGAAAAAACCCUGGUUUUAUCCAUUUUUACCCCACUUUCAUCCCUCUGGACUAAGGAUGUAUAUACAAGGGUAAGGAUUCAUUGGGCCCACAAAGCCAUCAUUAAGGAUUGCUACAUCAAUCCAUGCUGAGUAUAUUCUCCCCUACAGCCCGAUUUUAGAAAGUGUUCUUAAAGGAAUUUCAGGGCAUAAAACAUGUAUAAUUUCAGCCAGAUACGUGGAAGCAUCAUCAUUAGUAAGGAAUUUUCUCAACAGUUGAUGCUGCUGCAGAAAAAUAAUAAAAUAUUUAUUCUAAGGUUAUAAACUAACAUAUCCUACACCUCUAGCAGCUUUUCAAAGACCCCUCUACAGUAACAUUUGUUGUUGCAGGGUUAAAUCCUAACUGGAAUAAUGGGUCCCAAGCCCUGCUCCUGUGCCUCUCCACUCAGUUAAAGCAAGGGAAUGUCCCUGCAAACAUGGGAAUGUCGGGCCAAUACAGGUGCUUUAGCAAAGUUUUAGUUGCUGAGUUUUUGUGCUUCCCUCUCUCAUUCCCCACCUGCCAGAGAUUAUGCAUUUCCAUAUCUUUGACAGCUUUUUUCAAUAGAUAAAUACAUUUAAGACAAGGGAUGAUGAUAAAUGGCACCAAAAAUGUCAAAAAGCAGCAUUUAUUAUAUCCUGCAAUUUCCCUGAGUUAUCCUUCUGAUUUGGACUGUCCCAGGAGCUGCAAAUUGCUGUGCUGCAGAUAAGGAAAAUGGAGCAUCUGAGAUUUCUCGCCAGUGACUACAAGGAAAGGGUUGGUUUUGUUUUUUUAGGAAGAAAGAGGAAAAUGUUCUGAAGCUUUCUCUUCAGGCUAAAAUCCAAAACAUUUACAAGACUCAAGAGCACAAAAGCUUGCAGAUAACCAGCAGAACUGAUGCCAGUUCCAUCAAAGAAAACAGCUAACAGCAACUGGGAGGAAUGCAGAUUAUGCAGCAUCCCUCUCUAUUGAAAAAAAAAAUCUGUUAUACAACAGUUAAAUAAUUUAACUACUUCAAGUUAUUAUUCUUCAGUUAGUCUUUUUUGGCUAUCAUGCAGCACUAGUCUCUUCUGUUUCUGAAGUUUGCCUUUAGGAGAAAAAAAAGGCAACUUCAAAACAUGCAAAAAUUAAUGAAACCCAUAUGUGGGAUACUGUCAUUAUUCCAUGUUUAUAAGAGGAUCAGGUUUUCUUAAAUGGGCUUACUUAAUGCAGACGCAUAAGCAAAAAUACCCAGCAAAAGAUCUGAAAGCUAUUGAAAGCAAAAUAUUUUCACAAUUUAAACUAAAAGCCACUAUAUAUUUUGGUGCAACUUUGUUUAUGGCUUCUCUGACAGCUUAUAAAGUUCUCCUAACCAGAGAAACAUCUCCUAGAUAAGAUUUUACCUUUUUGACUUUCACCUUCAUAUUGCAUUUAAGCUGGGCCAACCUAAAAAUCAAUGGCUUAUGGAAACAUCGGUUGAUGCAGGCACAUAAUUUUGACUUUUUUCAACAGCUGUUGUUAUUUUAUGCUCUAUUUUGGCUAGGCAAGUUGGUAAGACUGGAAGGAAAUAAAAGUUGGGCUCCUUUCCUGGCUUUGGUGUCUUUUUAGUGGCUGCAAUCAGCACCUCGUUCCCUCCCCUGCACUGGGAGUUUGGGGGGGAUAAAGGCUGAUUGCCCCCCACAUCUGGUCUUGCCCACCAGACUCAGACAAGAAAUAAAGGAAAUACAUCUCACUAAAUACUGGCUUAAAAUACCCACUGCUGUUGCUGCUUUCUGCCCAUACAAGGGACUAAAACACCCUCCACUGCCCGUCUUCCUGGCUCCCAUUUGCACCUCCAACAGCAAUCCACAAUAAACCCCAGGUUUGCCUUGCCUCCCCUCCUGCUAUUUCACUGCUGGGAUCCAGACAUCUGCCAACAUCCUCUGUAAAAGAUAACACACAAUAUAUUUUAAGAGUCAAGCUGCCACAAGAUAUUUGGUGCUUCAGACAGUGCUCCUUCCCAGACACAGAACACGCACUGCUCACAGGAAGGCUUGCAUAAAAACAGAAUGUACUUUUCUUGUGAAUCUAAUGACUGCCUAACAAAAAAAAAAAAAAAACCAAAACGACAAAU